UUUUAAGUGGCCGAGUAAAGCUGUAGAUUUUUAAUCUACCUACGGGCUGUAGCCCCUUUUGCGUU
rnacentral:tRNA from 1 species